CAGUAGCCGCGGGAAUACGUAGGGUCCGAGCGUUGUCCGGAAUUACUGGGCGUAAAGAGCUCGUAGGUGGUUUGUCGCGUUGUUCGUGAAAACUCACAGCUCAACUGUGGGCGUGCGGGCGAUACGGGCAGACUGGAGUACUGCAGGGGAGACUGGAAUUCCUGGUGUAGCGGUGGAAUGCGCAGAUAUCAGGAGGAACACCGGUGGCGAAGGCGGGUCUCUGGGCAGUAACUGACGCUGAGGAGCGAAAGCGUGGGGAGCGAACAGGAUUAGAUACCCGUGUAGUCCCUGUCUCUUAUAC
rnacentral:rRNA from 1 species